rnacentral:rRNA from 1 species
AUUAACUCACACCCAUAAGCGCCAGGGAACUACGAGCCACGCUUAAAACCCAAAGGAUUUGACGGUGUCCCACCCCCCUAGAGGAGCCUGUUCUAUAAUCGAUGAUCCCCGCUAUACCCCACCACCCCUUGCUCGUCAGUCUGUAUACCUCCGUCGAAAGCUUACCAUGUGAACGUCUAUAGUAAGUUCAAUGACCCAUGCCAAUGCGUCAACACGUCAGGUCAAGGUGCAGCUUAAGAGGUGGAAAGUGAUGGGCUACAAUUUCUAAUCUAGAACAAACGAAAGGCCAUGUGAAAUCGUGGCCACGAAGGCGGAUUUAGUAGUAAAAAGAAAAUAGAGUGUUCUUUUUAACCCGGCUCUGGGACGCGUACACACCGCCCGUCACCCUCUUCAAUAGUAUUACCCAAGUUUCUAACCCGUUUUUACAUCUCAGAAGAGGCAAGUCGUAACAUGGUAAGUGUACUGGAAAGUGCACUUGGUAUAACAAAAUGUAGCUUAACAAAAGCCCCUCGCUUACACCGAAGAGUUAUCUGUUUAACCCAGAUCAUUUUGAGCCUCAAACCUAGCCCACACGACCCGCAUGACGCCCACAAACUACUGUAAGAAACAAAACAUUUUAACAUUUUAGUAUAGGCGAUAGAAACAUUACUAAGCGCUUUAGAUAAAGUACCGCAAGGGAAAUAUGAAAUAGAAAUGAAAUAAUACUUCAGCCACAAAUAGCAGAGACACCCCCUCG